rnacentral:rRNA from 1 species
UACGGAAGGGGCGAGCGUUGUUCGGAAUCAUCGGGCGUAAAGGGCGCGUAGGUGGUUCUGUAUGUCUACCGUGAAAGCGUACGGCUCAACCGUAUUUUGUCGGUAGAAACUGCAGGACUUGAGGCUGGGAGGGGCUGGUGGAAUUCCCUGUGUAGCGGUGAAAUGCGUAGAGAUAGGGGAGAACACUCGUGGCGAAGGCGGCCAGCUAGACCAGUUCUGACACUGAGGCGCGACAGCGUGGGGAGCAAACAGG